UGUGCCAGCAGCCCGGUAAUACGUAGGGUGCGAGCGUUGUCCGGAAUUAUUGGGCGUAAAGAGCUUGUAGGCGGUUUGUCGCGUCUGCUGUGAAAGCCCGGGGCUUAACCCCGGGUCUGCAGUGGGUACGGGCAGGCUAGAGUGUGGUAGGGGAGACUGGAAUUCCUGGUGUAGCGGUGGAAUGCGCAGAUAUCAGGAGGAACACCGAUGGCGAAGGCAGGUCUCUGGGCCACUACUGACGCUGAGAAGCGAAAGCGUGGGGAGCGAACAGGAUU
rnacentral:rRNA from 1 species